UACGUAUGGUGCAAGCGUUAUCCGGAUUUACUGGGUGUAAAGGGAGCGUAGACGGCUGCGUAAGUCUGAAGUGAAAGCCCGGGGCUCAACCCCGGGACUGCUUUGGAAACUAUGCAGCUAGAGUGUCGGAGAGGUAAGUGGAAUUCCCAGUGUAGCGGUGAAAUGCGUAGAUAUUGGGAGGAACACCAGUGGCGAAGGCGGCUUACUGGACGAUGACUGACGUUGAGGCUCGAAAGCGUGGGGAGCAAACAGG
rnacentral:rRNA from 1 species